GAUGAAGAACGUAGCGAAAUGCGAUAAGUAAUGUGAAUUGCAGAAUUCAGUGAAUCAUCGAAUCUUUGAACGCACAUUGCGCCCCUUGGUAUUCCGAGGGGCAUGCCUGUUCGAGCGUCAUUAUAACCCCUCAAGCUCAGCUUGGUGUUGGGGCCUGCUGCACUGGCAGCCCUUAAAAUCAGUGGCGGCGCCAUCUGGCUCUAAGCGUAGUAAUUCUUCUCGCUAUGGAGUCCUGGUGGAUGCUUGCCAUCAACCCCCAAUUUUUCUAUGGUUGACCUCGGAUCAGAUAGGGAUACCCGCUGAACUUAAGCAUAUCAAUAAGCGGAGGA
rnacentral:misc_RNA from 1 species